rnacentral:rRNA from 1 species
AGAGAGAGACAUGCGCGCAUAUCAAUAAGCGGAGGAAAAGAAACUAACUAGGAUUCCCUCAGUAACGGCGAGUGAAGCGGGAAGAGCUCAAAUUUGAAAUCUUCAAGGUUCUACCUUGACGAAUUGUAGUUUAAAGAAGUGUUUUCUGUUGGAGUUUUGGUAAAAGUUCUUUGGAAUAGGACAUCAUAGAGGGUGAGAAUCCCGUAUUUGACCAUUAUUUCCAGCUUUGUGAUACACUUCCAAAGAGUCGGAUUGUUUGGGAAUGCAGUCCAAAAUGGGUGGUAAAUUUCAUCUAAAGCUAAAUACUUGGCGAGAGACCGAUAGCGAACAAGUACCGUGAGGGAAAGAUGAAAAGAACUUUGAAAAGAGAGUUAAACAGUACGUGAAAUUGUCAAAAGGGAAGCGUUUGACACCAGUGUUGUUUUCUCGAAAAUCAAUUAAAAAAGGCAGGAUUUUGUGUUGUAUUGACUUUAUCAGCUUUCUGCACUCUUUUCUUGUCUUUUUUAAUGCACUUUUCGUUUAACAAGUCAACAUCAAUUUCUUUUGUUGUAAAAGGGUCAUUGGAAGGUGGCUUUCUUUUCGGAGAAAGUGUUUAUAGCCUUUGGCCUCUGCAAUCGGAGAGAUUGAGGUCUGCAGCGUAGAUCCUUCGGGGUUAGAUACAUUUGUGCUAAGUUAUAGCCUUUCAUAGACAACUUGUUGACUAUGAUCAGUCAUGUAGCUUACUCGCUUAUGCUAUUUUACCUACGCUUAGGAUGUUGAUGUGAUACUGCGAGC